GCGCGGCCUCCGCCGAGUCCGGUGUGCCCGCACGGGCCCACGGGAGCCGGGGACCCACCGAACUUGGGGUGAAUCGGCCAACUGCCCCGCGGGGCAACGGCCGUAGGGCACACCUUCCGGACCGCCUGUCCGCCCGAACCCGUCAGCUAACCCGGUAGGCGGAGUACGGAAGGAGUA
rnacentral:sRNA from 2 species